GACAGAGGGUGCAAGCGUUGCUCGGAAUUACUGGGCGUAAAGCGCGUGUAGGCUGCCCGGAAAGUCGGGCGUGAAAGCCCUGGGCUCAACCCAGGAACUGCACUCGAAACUCCCGGUCUAGAGUGGUGGAGAGGGAAGUGGAAUUCCUGGUGUAGAGGUGAAAUUCGUAGAUAUCAGGAGGAACAUCAAAGGAGAAGGCGACCACCGAGACCUACACUGACGCUGAGGUGCGAAAGCGUGGGGAGCAAACAGG
rnacentral:rRNA from 1 species